AUUGAACGCUGGCGGCAGGCCUAACACAUGCAAGUCGAAUGGUAACAGGAAACAGCUUGCUGUUUCGCUGACGAGUGGCGGACGGGUGAGUAAUGUCUGGGAAACUGCCUGAUGGAGGGGGAUAACUACUGGAAACGGUAGCUAAUACCGCAUAACGUCGCAAGACCAAAGAGGGGGACCUUCGGGCCUCUUGCCAUCAGAUGUGCCCAGAUGGGAUUAGCUAGUAGGUGGGGUAACGGCUCACCUAGGCGACGAUCCCUAGCUGGUCUGAGAGGAUGACCAGCCACACUGGAACUGAGACACGGUCCAGACUCCUACGGGAGGCAGCAGUGGGGAAUAUUGCACAAUGGGCGCAAGCCUGAUGCAGCCAUGCCGCGUGUAUGAAGAAGGCCUUCGGGUUGUAAAGUACUUUCAGCGGGGAGGAAGGGAGUAAAGUUAAUACCUUUGCUCAUUGACGUACCCGCA
rnacentral:rRNA from 1 species